AUACGGAGGGUGCGAGCGUUGUUCGGAAUUAUUGGGCGUAAAGCGCGUGUAGGCGGUUUGUUAAGUCUGAUGUGAAAGCCCCGGGCUCAACCUGGGAAGUGCAUUGGAUACUGGCAGACUUGAAUACGGGAGAGGGCAGUGGAAUUCCUGGUGUAGUAGUGAAAUACGUAGAUAUCCGGAGGAACACCGGAGGCGAAGGCGAUCUCUUGGUUCGAUACUGACGCUGAGGCGCGAAAGCGUGGGGAUC
rnacentral:rRNA from 1 species